rnacentral:rRNA from 1 species
ACAUGAUUACAUCAUAGCGUCAAUGCACUGGAUCCCAUUAGAACUCCGCAGUUAAGCGUGCUCAAGCUAGAGUAGUACUAGGAUGGGUGACCGCUCGAGAAGUCCUUGUGUUUUACAUGCC